rnacentral:lncRNA from 10 species
GGGAAACGGAGGCUGCGUGGGAGCCUGGAAGAGGAGGGUGGCACCUAGGCUAUUCCCUCUGCCAGGGAAUUCCUUCGCCCUCGUUCAGAAAACAUCUACCCAUUCGGGGUGGCUCAUGGACAGGGACUCCCAGCACUGAGCACCCAGCAGGGGCAGAGAGGUGUCUGCUGGCUGAGUGAAUGACCCUGACCAAAUGGGAAGAGAGACGCCUUCCUGGCCUGGGGGCACUGAGAUGCUGAAGCCUGGCCGCGUGGGGGUCGUCAUCAGCUGAGUCUGCGGUCCCCUGUGGUCACACAGGACCA